rnacentral:rRNA from 1 species
CUGAGACCUGAUGCCGAGCCGAUUGUGGUGAAGUGGAUGAUCCUAUGCUGUCGAGAAAAGCCUCUAGCGAGUUUCAUGGCGGCCCGUACCCUAAACCGACUCAGGUGGUCAGGUAGAGAAUACCGAGGCGUUCGGGUGAACUAUGGUUAAGGAACUCGGCAAAAUGCCCCCGUAACUUCGGGAGAAGGGGGGCCACAUCUGGUGAGAACACUUGCUGUUCGAGCUGGGGGUGGCCGCAGAGACCAGCGAGAAGCGACUGUUUACUAAAAACACAGGUCCGUGCGAAGCCGUAAGGCGAUGUAUACGGACUGACGCCUGCCCGGUGCUGGAACGUUAAGGGGACCGGUUAGUCACUCUUCGGGGUGGCGAAGCUGAGAACUUAAGCGCCAGUAAACGGCGGUGGUAACUAUAACCAUCCUAAGGUAGCGAAAUUCCUUGUCGGGUAAGUUCCGACCUGCACGAAUGGCGUAACGACUUCUCGACUGUCUCAACCAUAGGCCCGGUGAAAUUGCACUACGAGUAAAGAUGCUCGUUUCGCGCAGCAGGACGGAAAGACCCCGGGACCUUUACUACAGUUUGAUAUUGGUGUUCGGUUCGGCUUGUGUAGGAUAGCUGGGAGACUGUGAAGCGCUAACGCCAGUUAGUGUGGAGUCGUCGUUGAAAUACCAGUCUGGUCGUGCUGGAUGUCUAACCUGGGUCCGUGAUCCGGAUCAGGGACAGUGUCUGAUGGGUAGUUUAACUGGGGCGGUUGCCUCCUAAAGAGUAACGGAGGCGCCCAAAGGUUCCCUCAGCCUGGUUGGCAAUCAGGUGUUGAGUGUAAGUGCACAAGGGAGCUUGACUGUGAGACCGACGGGUCGAGCAGGGACGAAAGUCGGGACUAGUGAUCCGGCGGUGGCUUGUGGAAGCGCCGUCGCUCAACGGAUAAAAGGUACCCCGGGGAUAACAGGCUGAUCUUCCCCAAGAGUCCAUAUCGACGGGAUGGUUUGGCACCUCGAUGUCGGCUCGUCGCAUCCUGGGGCUGGAGUCGGUCCCAAGGGUUGGGCUGUUCGCCCAUUAAAGCGGUACGCGAGCUGGGUUUAGAACGUCGUGAGACAGUUCGGUCCCUAUCCGCUGUGCGCGUAGGAGUCUUGAGAAGGGCUGUCCCUAGUACGAGAGGACCGGGACGGACGAACCUCUGGUGUGCCAGUUGUUCUGCCAAGGGCAUGGCUGGUUGGCUACGUUCGGGAGGGAUAACCGCUGAAAGCAUCUAAGCGGGAAGCCUGCUUCGAGAUGAGGACUCCCACCUCCUAGAGAGGGUAAGGCUCCCAGUAGACGACUGGGUUGAUAGGCCGGAUAUGGAAGCACGGUAACGUGUGGAGUUGACCGGUACUAAUAGGCCGAGGGCUUGUCCUC